UCAAUAGUCUUUUAAUUGAAGGCCAGAAUGAAUGGUUGAACGAGAAAUACCCUGUCUCUUAUUAAAUAAAUUGAAAUUUACUUUUAAGUGAAAAGGCUUAAAUAUAUUUAAGGGACGAUAAGACCCUAUAAAUCUUUAUAUUAGUUAGUUAUAUAUUUUAUAAGUAUUUAUAUAAGUAAAAUAAAUAACAAACAAUAUUUUGUUGGGGUGAUAUAAAUAUAAUAAAUAACUAUUCUACUUUUAUUACAAUAAUAUUUGAUUAACAUCAAAAAGAUCCUUUAUUUAAGAUUCUAAGAAUAAGUUACUUUAGGGAUAACAGCGUUAUCUUUUUUGAGAGUCCUCAUCAAAAAAAAAAAUUGCGACCUCGAUGUUGAAUUAAAAUAUCUUUAUGGUGCAGAAGCUAUAUAAGAAAGUCUGUUCGACUUUUAAAAUUUUACGUGAUC
rnacentral:rRNA from 1 species